GGAGCUUGCUCCACCGGAAAAAGAAGAGUGGCGAACGGGUGAGUAACACGUGGGUAACCUGCCCAUCAGAAGGGGAUAACACUUGGAAACAGGUGCUAAUACCGUAUAACAAUCGAAACCGCAUGGUUUUGAUUUGAAAGGCGCUUUCGGGUGUCGCUGAUGGAUGGACCCGCGGUGCAUUAGCUAGUUGGUGAGGUAACGGCUCACCAAGGCCACGAUGCAUAGCCGACCUGAGAGGGUGAUCGGCCACAUUGGGACUGAGACACGGCCCAAACUCCUACGGGAGGCAGCAGUAGGGAAUCUUCGGCAAUGGACGAAAGUCUGACCGAGCAACGCCGCGUGAGUGAAGAAGGUUUUCGGAUCGUAAAACUCUGUUGUUAGAGAAGAACAAGGAUGAGAGUAACUGUUCAUCCCUUGACGGUAUCUAACCAGAAAGCCACGGCUAACUACGUGCCAGCAGCCGCGGUAAUACGUAGGUGG
rnacentral:rRNA from 1 species